rnacentral:rRNA from 1 species
GCCUACGGGAGGCAGCAGUGAGGAAUAUUGGUCAAUGGUCGGGAGACUGAACCAGCCAAGCCGCGUGAGGGAGGAAGGUACAGAGUAUCGUAAACCUCUUUUGUCAGGGAACAAAGGCGGGGACGGGUCCCCGGAUGAGUGUAACUGAAGAAAAAGCAUCGGCUAACUCCGUGCCAGCAGCCGCGGGAAUACGGAGGAUGCGAGCGUUAUCCGGCUUUAUUGGGUUUAAAGGGUGCGGAGGCGGGCUGGUAAGUCAGGGGUCAAAGGCCGGGG